ensembl:lncRNA
AUGUUCAUUACUGUGAUAUUAGGUGAGACUGUGGACUUGAUGGACAGGACGGGAGAGCUGGUGAACUUGGCUGAGAGAGAGCAGAGCACCGACCUCGUCAGCAGUUUGCUGAAGGAGAGAGAGAGCUAUAUUCCAUUACGUGUAUCACGAGGUGAAGGCAGUGAAGGUCCAAAGUAUACUGCAGUGUAUGACUUUGGGACAAGUUACCCUGAGCUAGCAGAGAUUCUGAGAAAACUGUCAAAUCCUUCAAAGGAGCGGGACAAAAGGGGUGGAGCAUCUAAAAGGGGAGGAGUCAGUCAACACCGCAUCAAAGCUGCCAUCAACUUUAAGAAAGCCAUCACAACACCUCGGAGCUGAAAACACUCUCUUACUAUUUCCUUGUGUUCUUUAACAAUUUUAUAAAUAUUUUAGAAUUGGUUAUAUCAUAUAUAUCAAUGUGAAGAAUAUUUUUUGUUUGUGUAUAUACACAACCAUUCAAAAGUUUGGGGUCACUAUGAUUGAAAAAAAAAAGAAAUUAAUAAUUUUAUUCAGCAACAAUGUAUUAAAUUGAUCAAGAGAGAUAUUUAUAAUGUUACAAAAUAAUUAUAUUUUAAAUAAAUUCAGUUUUGUAAACUUUCUAUUAAUCA